CUACGGGAGGCUGCAGUGGGGAAUCUUGGACAAUGGGCGCAAGCCUGAUCCAGCCAUGCCGCGUGAAUGAUGAAGGCCCUAGGGUUGUAAAAUUCUUUCGUCGGUGAAGAUAAUGACGGUAGCCGAAGAAGAAGCCCCGGCUAACUCCGUGCCAGCAGCCGCGGUAAUACGGAGGGGGCAAGCGUUGUUCGGAAUUACUGGGCGUAAAGCGGGUGUAGGCGGAUUGAUCAGUCGGGGGUGAAAGCCCAGGGCUCAACCCUGGAACUGCCUUCGAUACUGUCAGUCUCGAGUCUAGGAGAGGUGAGCGGAAUUCCGAGUGUAGAGGUGAAAUUCGUAGAUAUUCGGAGGAACACCAGAGGCGAAGGCGGCUCACUGGACUAGUACUGACGCUGAGACCCGAAAGCGUGGGGAGCAAACAGGAUUAGAUACCCCUGUAGUC
rnacentral:rRNA from 1 species